GACGAACGCUGGCGGCGUGCUUAACACAUGCAAGUCGAACGGAAAGGCCCUGCUUUUGUGGGGUGCUCGAGUGGCGAACGGGUGAGUAACACGUGAGUAACCUGCCCUUGACUUUGGGAUAACUUCAGGAAACUGGGGCUAAUACCGGAUAGGAGCUCCUGCUGCAUGGUGGGGGUUGGAAAGUUUCGGCGGUUGGGGAUUGACUCGCGGCUUAUCAGCUUGUUGGUGGGGUAGUGGCUUACCAAGGCUUUGACGGGUAGCCGGCCUGUGAGGGUGACCGGCCACAUUGGGACUGAGAUACGGCCCAGACGCCUACGGGAGGCAGCAGGGGGGAAUAUUGCAUAAUGGGCGGAAGCCUGAUGCAGCAACGCCGCGUGCGGGAUGACGGCCUUCGGGUUGUAAACCGCUUUCGCCUGUGACGAAGCGUGAGUGACGGUAAUGGGUAAAGAAGCACCGGCUAACUACGUG
rnacentral:rRNA from 1 species